rnacentral:lncRNA from 1 species
CUAGUCUCAAGUCAUUUGGUGUUGGACACUAAGACAAACACAUAGGUGCUCGAAAGAGUAAUCGAGUACAUUGAACAACGAUCAAAAAAGAGUUCGAACAUACAUGUCAUGUAAGAACUCGAAAGUUGCAAUAUGCAAAGUAGUCCUUUGACCUGAUGCAUCAUAGAUGUCUAAUGGUUAGGUCCUUGAUCUUUGAUCAUGUCAACGGCAUUCCAUCGGAGUGUCCACGGCAUUGUUGGGGUCAAGCUAUCUAGUCGUGUAGGCAUAUGAAUGCACAACAAGGGAUCUCUAACCUUCCAUGGUGGAAGGAGAAUACUCUAAGAUAUGAUUCUAAAGUCUUUGGCCAAAGCAUAUGAAUAUGACUUAGGAAGAAUGUUCCAAAUCAUAUUCAAGGGAAUCAUAUAGAUAAGUAUCACAUUGGAUAGUACACAUGAAACAAACUAUCACUUAAACAAUGUGAUUAAGAGUAUUGUAUUAGAGAAGGACCGUAUUGCAUUG